rnacentral:rRNA from 1 species
GAUGAACGCUGGCGGCGUGCUUAACACAUGCAAGUCGAACGAAGCACUUUAUUUGAUUUCCUUCGGGACUGAUUAUUUUGUGACUGAGUGGCGGACGGGUGAGUAACGCGUGGGUAACCUGCCUUGUACAGGGGGAUAACAGUUGGAAACGGCUGCUAAUACCGCAUAAGCGCACAGCAUCGCAUGAUGCAGUGUGAAAAACUCCGGUGGUAUAAGAUGGACCCGCACGGAUUAGCUAGUUGGUGAGGUAACGGCCCACCAAGGCGACGAUCCAUAGCCGACCUGAGAGGGUGACCGGCCACAUUGGGACUGAGACACGGCCCAAACUCCUACGGGAGGCAGCAGUGGGGAAUAUUGCACAAUGGGCGAAAGCCUGAUGCAGCGACGCCGCGUGAGCGAAGAAGUAUUUCGGUAUGUAAAGCUCUAUCAGCAGGGAAGAUAAUGACG